GCACAUGUCCAUUGAAGACACAUUAAAAAUAUUUUCAGUCUUCAGUUGGUUGAGGCCUUGUAUACAGAAUGCCUAGACACAUUGGCUGUGUCUGGAAGUGUCCUGUUUUCUCAAAUGCUCAAUUUGGAGUGAAAGCUCAGGUCUGUGUGUGUUCUCAGUGGCCAUUCUGCAUCAGCUGAGAGGAAGUUUUCUAGGGAGGCCUUGUAGGACCUGUGGGAAGGAGUGGUUGAGCGUGAAUGGGCACGGGUCGGGAGUUCUUCGUCAUUUUGCACUCCUAGCUCCUAGUGUGAGUAAGCAAGAAAAAUUUGGAAUAACCAGGGUUUUGAGAAUGUGGCCUUACCUAAGACUGGCAUGAAAAACCAAAGAUGGUCAAAGAUUCAGAGAGAAUACUUCUAAAACCCAAAGGCAAUGUGUACUUGUGAGCAUGCCCAAGGGAGCAUGGAAAGGGCACAUGAAUUUUCAUAUGAAAAGAACAAAAGCAUACAGAAGACUUAGAACUGAGACGAGCUGUGCACUGACAAUUCUCCCUUUGCCUCUUCAUUACUGUGACACCCCUUGCUGGCACCCUAUAAGCUUUCUCUAGUUCUGUGUUAACACAGUUCCGUAACUGGGCUAUGGGGUUGAUCUAUGUGUUUAAUAACAGAGCUCACCUCCCCAGGUGACUAUGGAGUUAAGCACACCCCACUGUUCUCCCACAGGUGUGUUUCAUGUUUUGUGUCUGCCCUCACUCCAGGGUUUGUAUCUAUAGCACACACCCUUGAUGCUAAGCACAGGCACAUAUUCGAGCUGCAUGGAGCAGUUUUAAUAAUUCUGUUCAAAGUCUUUUAGAACUUUUGCCCAGCCCUCUGCCAUUUCUAUAUGCUUGCAGUAUAUUCUUUACUUAUCCUGAACAGAACUUGAUCAUAUUUCAUUAAAGCUACAUAGUUAUGUAUUUGUUUCCUACUCUCAACUGGGCUCCUUGAAGGUAAAAGAAAUGCUCUUGUAUCUUCUAGUUUCAAACACAGGACCACCACUAACUAAUGACACAUAAAUGUUUGUUGAUGAUUAUUCUAGAUAUAAGCAGGGAGAUUUUAAGAAUCUACGUUCUGCUGUCUACCACAGAGGAAGCAAACAGUUCUUCUCUUGCCAGUAAGGAGCAGAGGCAGACAUUUUGAGGAGCCUGAAUGUUAAGAGAUUGGACUUCUCACAAGAGAAACAGAGCUACAACUAGAAUUUUUUUUUAAGAGCACAUUGUAGGAUUGGCAAGAUUCACCAAUGGUUAAAGAGUCACACAUUUACAGCUCACAAUGGCCAUGAAGUCAUGAUUCCCCUGCUUCAUUUCCCAAGUGCUGGGAUUGCACAUGUGGGCUACUUCCCCCAACUUCCUGAAGAUGGCAGUGGGCCGGCUUGUCACGUCUAGAGGACAGAGUUCCACAAUCGCUAUACAAGUCUACGUUGUGACUGCCUAGAGUACACAGUCCAUGUCAGGAACACUCCUCAUUUGAUUCUGACUUCAUCUAUCCUUCAGUCUCAGAUCAGGUAUCACAAGAUGUCAUCUGUUUAACCUUAACCUGACGCUGGGAAUCUACUACUACUACUGCUUGUCUUUUUUAGGAAUCUAGACACUAAAUGAACUGACUUGUGAUCAAAACCGCGGCAGCAAUGGCUGAUGGUCAUUUGUUCAGUCCAGCCGCAGCCACAGCUUGAAAGGAUGUGUUAAUAACUCCAGUGGGCUGGGUCCCCAGUCUGUCCUGAUUCUGACCUGGAUUCACCAUGUACUUGUGGAAUUUGCAUAUUAUUUGACAACUUCCUACAAAAUCACCUUUGCUUCUCCAGGAUGAUGGUCCCUACUUUUCUUUGAAACAAGCUAAUGUGUAACAUUCUCACAGGAUUCUUGUUUUUUUCUUUAGAUUUAUAUACAUUAGACAUGUCUGUACAUGUUUAUGCUUUUAUAGUAUUUCAUUUUAAGACAGGGGCUCUCUAUGAAGCUCUGACCGUUCUAGAACUCACUGUGUGGAUGAAACUGGCCUCAAUGUUACCCAGACUCACUUGGCUCUGCUUCUUAAGUGGUGGGAUUAAAGGCAGAUGCCAUUACUCCUGGCUAAUUAUGAACCUUGAAGUGAAGACUGUAAUAAGUAGAUUAAUUAAAUAGAGCAUUUUAUAUAUUUCUUUUAAUAUAGUGAAAAUAGGGAAAUACUUACAUAUGCACAAUCACAUACAGCCUUAUACAUAUGUGCUAUAGAGUAUGUAUUUUAAAUAUAUUAUGCAUUGGGGGCUCAGCAGUUAGGAGCACUUGUUGAUUUUAGCUGCUGGAACAUAUGUUGGGUGGCUCACAAACUCCUGUAAAACCGAGACAAAGUAACUCCAAUAAUUAUUUCUGGCCUGUGUGGGCACCUGUAUCGAUGUAGUAUACAUUCUCUCCCUCUCUCCCUCUCUCUCCCUCUCCCUCUCUCUUUCCUUCUCCCUCUCUCUUUCCUUUUCCCUCUCU